AGAGUUUGAUCCUGGCUCANANCGAACGCUGGCGGCAGGCUUAACACAUGCAAGUCGAGCGCCCCCGCAAGGGGGAGCGGCAGACGGGUGAGUAACACGUGGGAACGUGCCCUUCAGUUCGGAACAACCCAGGGAAACUUGGGCUAAUACCGGAUACGUCCGUAAGGAGAAAGAUUUAUCGCUGAAGGAUCGGCCCGCGUCUGAUUAGCUAGUUGGUGGGGUAAUGGCUCACCAAGGCUACGAUCAGUAGCUGGUCUGAGAGGAUGAUCAGCCACACUGGGACUGAGGCACGGCCCAGACUCCUACGGGAGGCAGCAGUGGGGAAUAUUGGACAAUGGGCGCAAGCCUGAUCCAGCCAUGCCGCGUGAGUGAUGAAGGCCUUAGGGUUGUAAAGCUCUUUCGGCGGGGAAGAUAAUGACGGUACCCGCAGAAGAAGCCCCGGCUAACUUCGUGCCAGCAGCCGCGGUAAUAC
rnacentral:rRNA from 1 species